GAGUUUGAUCAUGGCUCAGAUUGAACGCUGGCGGCAUGCCUUACACAUGCAAGUCGAACGGCAGCAUGAUCUAGCUUGCUAGAUUGAUGGCGAGUGGCGAACGGGUGAGUAAUACAUCGGAACGUGCCCUGUAGUGGGGGAUAACUAGUCGAAAGAUUAGCUAAUACCGCAUACGACCUGAGGGUGAAAGUGGGGGACCGCAAGGCCUCAUGCUAUAGGGAGCGGCCGAUGUCUGAUUAGCUAGUUGGUGGGGUAAAGGCCCACCAAGGCGACGAUCAGUAGCUGGUCUGAGAGGACGAUCAGCCACACUGGGACUGAGACACGGCCCAGACUCCUACGGGAGGCAGGCAGUGGGGAAUUUUGGACAAUGGGGGCAACCCUGAUCCAGCAAUGCCGCGUGUGUG
rnacentral:rRNA from 1 species